GUGCCAGGCCAGCCCGCCGGAAAUGAGGUAGUGACAAGGAGCCGCGCUCUGCGUAGUCUGACUUCUGGUGCCGUCCUCCUCACUCUUCUGCGACUGGAAAGCAGGGUGGAAUUCUGGACUGAGAGACAGAGCCUGUAGUCUCUGGAUCUGCACACGGCAGCACUCUAGAGACUAUGCAAAUUCUUGCUGAGAUACCUAGAGCUGCUCCGCUUUCUACCUUUCCAAAUACUCCAAGGUGCCCUCAUAUCCAUCUAAAAAGUUCUUUUAGCUACAGGUUCUGUUUUCUUCUACUAGGAAAACCUGAUGUAACAGCAGAAUAAGGUGGAACACUGACAUCACACAGAUGAUACUCCGCAAACAAAGGAAAAUCAUUCCUUGUCUUAUCCAAGUAUCUCACUUUACUCAAAUAAACUCAGUUAUUCUCUUUUCUUGAAGAAAAGUGUGGCUUUUAUCUCUGAGAAGGAAAGGGUAAGUUUGGAAUUCAGCUAGUAUUAACAAAAAACAACAACUUUCAAAAGUUAUGGAGAUAAAAAAAUUACUUUCAAAACCAUACAUUUAUGUCAUUACACCCAUCUUCAUAUCAUCUACACUGAGGUAAACAAAUACAUGUAAAAUCUGAAUAACAUCUGCUGUACUUAAAUACAAAUGGUCUUAUUAACUCUUCAAAGGACAGAUGAGAAUUUGCAUUGAUCCAAUUCUUACAGUCUUGUCCAGUCCCUCUUGAAGCCAAUGGCUGGGCAGUCUGUAAAUAGGAUUUAGUUAAGCCUACUGUGCCCAUCUAUCCAUCCAUCCUUCCAACAUUGUUCUGUGCAUUCUUCUGUGUGAGGCACUGUGCUGGAUAAUGGAGAAACAGGUAAGUAAAACAUGAUUCCUACCCAUCAAGAAGCUCAUAGGGGAAAAAAAAAAAAAAAGCUCACAAGAGAAACAGUCAAAUAA